rnacentral:misc_RNA from 1 species
CCAACUGCCAAUUACAGAGCGCACACUGUAGGAAACAACCAAGAAAUUACACUAAGAACCCGACUUUCUAUAUUACUCACAUCAAGUAUGCCUGAAUCCAUUCUGUGUCUAUGCACCAUUUCCAUAGAGGCAAGAGGAGUGUUCUAAUGGCGGAGUUAGGAGAAGAAAGGUCAUCACCAGAAGAGCAACAAGUGCAAGAACAAUAUGAACAUGGAACAAGCCUAUCUAAACAAAGAUUAUUCGAUUUGGAGGCAGAUGAAGGUAGCGCUAAUGCUGAUCGGCAGAAGGCAGAUUGGGGAACAAUCUGGAAGCUUGCGUUUCAAUGCAUUGGUGUUGUUUAUGGUGAUUUAGGUACAUCUCCAUUGUACGUUUUACCUGGAAUUUUUCCUGAUGGGAUCAAGAACGAGGAGGAUAUCCUUGGAGUGCUUUCUUUGAUUAUUUACUCGAUUAUUGUCAUCACCUUGAUUAAGUAUGUAUUCAUCGUUUUGGCUGCAAAUGAUAAUGGGGAUGGAGGAACCUUUGCACUUUAUUCUCUUAUAUGUCGCCAUGCCAAGGUCAAUUUGAUACCAAACCAGCAGGCUGAAGAUAGAGAAGUGUCUACUUAUAAGUUGGAUUUACCAAAACGCAGUACGAGGAUGGCUUCGGCUCUCAAAUAUUCACUUGAGAGUAGCCUUAUAAUCAAGUAUUCUCUAUUGUUCACAACCAUGAUUGGAGUGUCCAUGGUCCUUGGAGAUGGCAUUCUGACACCCUGCAUAUCUGUAUUAUCUGCUGUUGGAGGUAUUAGGGAGGCUGCUCCUAGCCUUUCACAAGAUGCAAUCAUGUGGAUUUCAGUGGUGAUUUUGAUUCUAUUGUUCCAAGUACAGAGGUUUGGAACUGACAAAGUUGGCUAUACUUUUGCUCCAAUUCUAGUGCUAUGGUUUGCUUUUAUUGCAUUUAUUGGGCUUUUCAACUUCAUCAAGUAUGACCCUGGUGUAAUCAAGGCUGUCAAUCCAUGGUACAUUGUCAAAUAUUUCCAGAGGAAUAAGAAAAAAGCUUGGAUUUCUAUUGGAGGUGUCAUUUUAUGCCUCACAGGGUCUGAAGCUUUGUUUGCUGAUUUGGGCCACUUCAAUAUUCGCUCAAUUCAAUUAAGCAGUUGUGCUGUACUCGUUCCCUCUGUCUUGUUAGCCUAUAUUGGCCAAUGUUCCUAUCUCCGUAAAAAUACCGAAGAUGUCACUGAUGCCUUCUAUAAAUCAAUCCCAAGUAUGUUGUUACUAGACAUGACUUAUAUCAGAAUCAUUGCUUAUUCCGAGUUUUUAUUGUUGCAGAACCAAUGUAUUGGCCGCAGUUUGUUGUGGCAAUAUUGGCCGCCAUCAUUGCUAGUCAGUCAUUAAUCUCUGCAUCCUUCUCUAUCAUCCAACAAUCUGCAGCUCUAGGGUGUUUCCCCCGAAUUCAGGUCAUGCAUACAUCUGCAGAACACGAAGGACAAGUUUAUGUGCCUGAGAUCAACACUCUUUUGAUGUUAGCCUGUGUGGGUGUCACUCUUGGCUUCAAAAACACUUUAACGAUUGGCAAUGCAUAUGGAAUUGCUGUAACAUUUGUUUUCGUGAUUACAUCAAUGUUUCUUGUCCUUGUUAUGGUUAUGAUAUGGAAAACAAAUAUCAUCCUCAUAAUCAUCUAUGUCCUGACCAUCGGUCUCAUUGAAGUGUUAUUUUUGAGCUCUACAUUAUACAAGUUCGUUGAUGGAGGUUACAUUCCUUUACUAUUUGCCUCCACUGUGGUCUCCAUUAUGUUCAUAUGGAACUAUGGCUACAGGAAGAAGUAUAUGUACGAGCUCGAAAAUAAAAUUGCAAUGAAAACACUUACUGAUAUAGUUUCUGAUGAGAGGAUCCAUCGAGUAGAAGGUCUUGGUUUAUUCUAUACACAUCUUGUUCACGGCAUACCUCCCAUAUUUACUCAUUAUGUGUCGCAUGUCCAAGCCUUGCAUAAAGUUCUUGUCUUUAUCUCAAUCAAGUCGCUGCCCAUCAGUAAGGUUCCAGCUGAGGAACGGUUCUUGUUCGGACGAGUAAAGCCUGGAGAGUUGAUUUUCAGAUGUAUAGUAAGAUAUGGAUACAAGGAUUCGAGAAAGGAUCAGAAGACAUUUGAGGAGUUGCUAGCAAAUCAGUUGAAGGACUUCAUAGGGGAAGAUAGCGGGGCAGAAGACAGGCAAAGGGAAUUGGCAUUGGUAGAUAAUGCUUUGAGAGAUGGUUUUGUUUAUUUGAUGGGUGAGUGUGAGGUGAUGGCUGCAAAUGGGUCUACCUGGGUUAAAAAAUUGACCGUGGACUACCUCUACAAUUGGUUAAUUAGAUUUGUGAGGCAGCCAGAUGAAGUUUUCUUGAUUCCUCGCAAGCAAUUACUCAAAGUGGGAAUGACUUAUGAUGUUUAGAGAUCUAGCUAGCCUCACCAGCUCAAUUAGUAAUAAUCUUGAUGUUCAAGGAGUAUUUUCAUCAGCAGGGUUUGGUAGUUAUUGCUGGACAGGUGUACGGAAUAUCUUUGUCCCCUUGUUAACUUUCUUCUAUAUUAAAAAUACUUAUCUUUGCUUAUGAAAAAUAAUCUUGGAG